UGCGUAGGUGGUUUUUUAAGUCAGUGGUGAAAGCCUACAGCUCAACUGUAGAGGUGCCAUUGAAACUGAAAAACUUGAGUAUGGACGAGGUAGGCGGAAUUUGUGGUGUAGCGGUGAAAUGCAUAGAUACCACAAAGAACACCAAUAGCGAAGGCAGCUUACUGGACCAUAACUGACACUGAGGCACGAAAGCGUGGGGAGCGAACAGGAUUAGAUACCCUGGUAGUCC
rnacentral:rRNA from 1 species